rnacentral:ncRNA from 15 species
UCAAUGACGGUUCUCCGAGCUCCUGCACCUAAGUCAAUGGAUAUGGUGUUUGAGCCGUGGCGCGGUGCCACCGGGGUGGGGUGCAGAAAUGGCUUCACCUCCCGAUACUUGGAAAGGUGAUCAUGUCUCAACUUC